GAUUUCAAAUGGAAAAUUCAUCAGUAACAAAGUAGUAUAACUCAUCGAGAUCUAUAACAUUUAUUUUGGUCAUUUCUUCAUCCGACAAAGUAAUUUGUAAAAUUGUUCACAAAAUGUACGUAUCUUUUAUAUAGUUUAUAAACUAUAAGAGAUAUGUAAAUUUUGUAAAAAUAUUACUAUCACUUUGUCGGAUGAAGAAAUGACGAAAAUAGAAGUUAUAGAUCUUGAUGAAUUAUACAACUUUGUUAUUGAUGACUUUUUUCAAGUGAAUC
rnacentral:pre_miRNA from 1 species